GACGAACGCUGGCGGCGUGCCUAAUACAUGCAAGUAGAACGCUGAAGGAGGAGCUUGCUUCUCUGGAUGAGUUGCGAACGGGUGAGUAACGCGUAGGUAACCUGCCUGGUAGCGGGGGAUAACUAUUGGAAACGAUAGCUAAUACCGCAUAAGAGUAGAUGUUGCAUGACAUUUGCUUAAAAGGUGCAAUUGCAUCACUACCAGAUGGACCUGCGUUGUAUUAGCUAGUUGGUGGGGUAACGGCUUACCAAGGCGACGAUACAUAGCCGACCUGAGAGGGUGAUCGGCCACACUGGGACUGAGACACGGCCCAGACUCCUACGGGAGGCAGCAGGAGGGAAUCUUCGGCAAUGGACGGAAGUCUGACCGAGCAACGCCGCGUGAGUGAAGAAGGUUUUCGGAUCGUAAAGCUCUGUUGUAAGAGAAGAACGAGUGUGAGAGUGGAAAGUUCACACUGUGACGGUAUCUUACCAGAAAGGGACGGCUAACUACGUG
rnacentral:rRNA from 1 species